AAUUUCUACACCACAACCUUUGCAAUCACCGCCACCACCCCUAGGUCCCAUGCCAGCAAGUGCCCGGUUGCUACAGAGGUGACAGGGCACAUUGGGAAGAAGGCUUGUUGAUUGCAGAAGACACUUAAGUCCCGUGUUUCCAGUGCUGUGAGGUGUAAUGAGCUGGUCUGAGGAUAUCAGAUGGAAUCUCCAAGAAAAAAAAUGUUUUCCUGAAGUUUACCAUGAACUGGAUUUAAGGUAAAUCUUUCUAUUCAUGAAUCUACAGUUUCCAGAGUCUUCCCAGCAUUUCUGGUGUUCUGUUGUGCCAAGUCUCUCAGAUUCCAAGUCUCUGCAUGGAUCUAUUUUGGUUGCUCAUUGGCUGUUUCAAGGGACCACUCUCUUUCAAAUGUAAGUACCAGAAGGACUGAAGAACUGGACUUCUCAGUUGUUGGUUAGUGAAUGUGUCACUGUAGAAACCUUUGAAGAGGUAAUUGAUCACAGGGUUGGUACAAUUUAAUAGCCCAUAAACUUAGAUAAAGGAUAUGGGGGUAUAGAUUAGAAUGGUGUUCUGAGCCAUGUGGUACUAGUCAGGAAAAGUGGCCCAGCAAAGUGGAGACUACUGAGAAUUCCUAUAAAAACUGAAAUAUGGAAUGUGUAGCGAUGGAAGGAAUAGGAAUGCCAUUGAAAGGAGAAUGUAAAACAGAAAGAUGUGGGCAUAGUAGGUGCUUACAUUUCCUUAGUUAAAGAUCACAGGAGUCAUAAACACACCACCAGUUAAUAAAAUCAAUGCCAAGAUAAUUUAUAAAUAGGUAUGUCUUUAUUUAUUUAUUUUUAUCUGCAAAGGAAGU